GAUUAACGCUGGCGGCGUGCAUAACACAUGCAAGUCGAACGAUGAAACUUUUUUGAUUUCUUCGGAAUGAUUAAAAGUGGAUUAGUGGCGGACGGGUGAGUAACGCGUGAGUAACCUGCCUUAGAGAAGGGGAUAGCCUUUGGAAACGAAGAAUAAUACCCUAUGAAACCAUAACCUCGCAUGAGGAAUUGGUCAAAGAUUUAUCGCUCUAAGAUGGACUUGCGUCUGAUUAGUUAGUUGGUGGGGUAACGGCCCACAAGACAGCGAUCAGUAGCCGGCUUGAGAGAGUGUACGGCCACAUUGGGACUGAGACACGGCCCAGACUCCUACGGGAGGCAGCAGUGGGGAAUUUGGCACAAUGGGGGAAACCCUGAUGCAGCGACGCCGCGUGAUUUAGAAGGCCUUCGGGUUGUAAAAAUCUUUUCUAUGGGAAGAAAAUGACAGUACCAUAGGAAUAAGGACCGGCUAAUUACGUG
rnacentral:rRNA from 1 species